UGAAAUAAAUUGUAAAAAUACAUGACGCUAAUCUUUUUUACAAAUGUUUAAUUUGUAAUAAUUUAUUAAGCGUUGAGCCGUCAACGGUUCGAGUGGUAGGCUUGAAUGCGCCAAGUCGAGAGAGAGAGAGAGAGAGAAGUGGGGGAAGAGCCAUAGGCUAUGAACGUUGCUUAAGAGAUACACGCCCAAUCAGAUACAUAUACGGUUCGACAUUGUGGCCGGUACGGUGUCAUGAAAUAUGUGAAAUGCGAAGUUUCCCAUUUUCUACUCUCCGAAAACAUAAAUCCGUCUUCACAUCUCCGCAACAGUGCAGAGUAUGUUCAGUACUGAUUCAUGCAGAUUCGUCCAAGGAACAAAUGAGACGUACCAUUACAUUCUGUGGGAAUGUGAGAACAUCUGCGGAAUCAGAAAUCACGUGUUUGGUCGCGGUAUGGAUUUCUCACAUAAAUAAUAAUAAUAAUAAUAAUGAUAAACUGGUCCUUAAUAAAUUAUCUAAUUCACGUCAUGCUGGAGCUUAAAUUCCACGAAAUUAAGAUAGAAUUAGAUAAGAAGCUGUCAUAAAUAUUUUAAAAAAAUAAGUGUAAAAGAAUCAAUGAACUGCCGUAAGCUGCUUUUAUGAUUGUAGCGCAAUGAACUGGAUUGUUAGAUAAAAGUGUAGAAAAAGAAAGUGCAAUAAUUUAACGGGGAUUGCAUUAAGAUAUUCGAGCUUCUUGUGUAUCUAACUGACACAGUGAAAAUGGAAUCACAUAGAACGCUUA